GCCUGGGUGGCUCAGUUGGUUGAGCAUCUGACUUCGGCUCGGGUCAUGGUCUCAGGGUUUGUGAGUUUGAGUCCCGCAUCGGGCU
rnacentral:tRNA from 1 species